ACUGAUCAGACCCCAUCAAUUGCACCUUCACCACUCAUUCCAUACCCCCCACUUAAUAAUUGAUGAACAUGAUCUCCUCUCUGCCCCUUAUAUCUAUAUAUUCAAGUAAGAUUAAGUUCAUUGCCAACACCUAGCUUCAACAUUCUCAAGUUUGCUUUCCAAGUUAUCUAAGAUCUUCCUACUCUUCCCUUUGAAGCACACAUCUAUCAAAAACUACAAUGGCUAUCCGCCUGCCUCAUAUCAUUAGCUCUAAGAAAGUUCCCAAAGGCUACUUUGCGGUUUAUGUUGGAGAAAACCAGAAGAGGUUCGUGAUACCGGUAUCGUUCUUGAACCAGCCUUUGUUUCAAGAUUUGCUAGGCAUGUCACAAGAAGUGUUCGGAUAUAGUCAUCCUACAGGUGGUCUCACGAUUCCCUGCAAGGAAGACAUCUUUCUCGAUGUUACCUCUCGCUUGAACUGAUUUGUGAGAGAAUUAACACAAAUCAACCCAUACAAUUUUGUAAAGCAAACAUCACUAACAUCAUGUAAACACUUUCCUUUCCCAUCCUUUUUUGCCUUGGGGAGCAGAUAAUAAGUCCCCCUAUGUGGGAAAUUAGAGAUGGUGGCUUCUGUAACAAUUGGAAACACAUCAUUCAAUUGAAAUUUUAUUUCUUUUUAGAAUGUCCUAUGGUCCCCUUGUUAUUGUUGAUUUCAUAUACAAUUUAACUGUAAAAAAUUCACAUUGUUCACAAAUUAUUUCAACUUCCAAGCUAUGUUAUAUAAACUAUUCAUUUUUCUUAAAAUAGUUGUUCUAACAAGGGGUGUUCAUAUAGUUCGGUUAAAACCGAAUUAACCGACCAAAUCGUCUCAUUCUGUUAAUCAGUAGGUAGCCAAAUUUAGUUCGGUCGGAGGUCAGUUAAUGAUUUUUUGAAAUUUUGAUUAUCCGUUAAUUCGGUUCGAAAUCGGGUAAUUAUCUGAAUUAAUCAAUUAACAGAAAUAAAUAAUAUAUAUUAUAUAUAAUUGUUAGCUUUUUUUUGGUUGUUUACUUUCAAGAUUUAUGUAAUGUUUCUAAUGUCUUGUUUUCACCUCCAUUUAAAAUUAUUUGAACUAUUGCUUCAAAAAAAAUAUUUGAACUAUUAAAAAAAUAAACAUUAGUAAUGUAUUUUUUUUACAUAUUUUAUACUUAUUUUAAUAAAAAUUUCAGUUAAUGUAUUUGAAGAAAUCUGAGGUAUGGGACCAAGUCAUUUGACUAAAUGGUAUGCCUUUACCUAUAAAAGUUUCUAAGUUGGCUGAUACAAUGAAAUGUUAUAUUUUCUUUUGUCUUUGACAAUUUGUGGUGGAUUUGAUCAUUCUAAGGAAAAAAUAGCAUAUUAUUUAGCUUAAUGUACCCAUUAAAUAUACUGUAUUGCCAGAUUAGUUCCCGAUUUUUACCAUCACUCUCCUCUAGGAUAUGUCAAGCAACAGCAUCUCAUGAGCUGAUCAACUUGCUUGUUUUGGUGUCUGGAGGUAAUGAAGAUAAACAGGAAAUUUGACAGUGGAACUUUUGAUAAUGUUAGACUAGUCCACAGAGUUGCCCCUACAAUUUAACCAUCGAUAACUGGCAUAUUGCAUUACGGACAGCUCCUGCAAACAAAUAUCAGUUCAGGGUGGGACAGCCACUAAUUUGCGUUGUGAAGUGGUGAUAUUAAAUCUCAAGAUAGUACAAAGUAACAUGGAAAGUUCAGACCAGCUUUGUUCACUUUCUGGUAGGCAAGUCCAUGUGACAUAUUUUCUCUAUAUAUACUAGUUGAGAGGGUGUUUCCUACUGUCUAAUACAUAUUUUCAUGCCUUAGCUAUUGAGAAGCCUUAGAGCUGCAUAUCCUACCAUUACGAUUUUUUCAGUGACAUGAGAAUUAUGGGUUUCAGAGUACCUGUACUAACAUAACAAUUUACAACAAAUUUCCUUUUGAUCUGAUACCUUACCCUUUACCCCCAAUAUGUCAGCUACAUAGGUAAGAUGAAAAAGGGGGUGAGAAUGAGACUUUAAUAAUCAAUAAUAAGUAAAUAUAUGCACGUAACAAAUAUACCUUCAUAUAUGUUAUAGCUAAGAUUUUGACCUUGAAAAACAGUGCCAAAAAAGAUAUAUUCAUGCCCCUUAGUUUAUUUUCAUUUUCUUAGUCAAGUCAACAUAGAAGGUCAAGGUAGCCCAACUGUAUAUGUUUCUGGUCAUGGUAUAACAGAUUACAUGUCUCAAGCUUGCCUCUAACAUCAAUGGUGAAACAAUACCAAUCUUAUACUAUGAAAAAGCUCAUCGAUACAAAAAAAAAAAAAAAAAAACUAAAUAAACAAAGUGACUUGAGCUUAAUGCUAUCAAAUCUGUCCUUCAACACAUUAUACAUAAUAAUGAAUAGUCAAUAUAUGCAAAGAACCAUGAAUUUACAUGCCAAGAAAAAUGUGGAACGGAAACAGAUUCUUCUCUAAGGUUAUCCAUAUAUAGCAACACAUACCGGAAAUUUCGUCAGCUGUCAGGUUUAGUAUUGUCUUUCUCCCCCGUGGAACUAUUUGAUUGCUGCACAGCAUAACCAACAGCCUGGGGACUAGUUGUACCAUGUAGGACACAUUUUUUUAGUGAAUUCAGCAUGACAGAUUGUUUGUCUCUAAAGGUUGCCUCUAAUGUAAAUGGUGAAGUAAUAAGAAUCUUCUACCGUGAAGAAGGUUUUUAAGGAUCCAAAGCUUCCAUAUUCAAGUGGGACCUUGGUCGGUUUGAUCUGCCGGAAAGGGUAGGCAAAUUAUUCUUUUAAGUCUUUGCCAUGGAAUUCUUUAUAAUGCUUUGGAAAACAACACCAUGUGAUGCCCCACUAACCCAUGUCUAUCUCAUUAAUGAUCAGACCCCAGCAAUUGUCCCUUCACCACUCAUUCCUCAUCCUCCACUUAAUAGAGAAACAUUUCCUUUGGCCCCUUGCAUCUAUAUAUACAAGUAAGAUUAAGUUCAUUGGCAACACCUACUUUCACAUUCUCAAGUACUAAACUUCUUUACCUUAGAUUUCCAAGUUCUCUGAGAUCUUCCUCCUCUUCCCUUUUGAAGCAUACAUCUAUCGAAAACAACAAUGGCUUUCCACCUUUCUCGUAUCGUUAACUCUAAGAAGGUUCCCAAGGGCUACUUUGCAGUAUAUGUUGGAGAAAACCAGAAGAGGUUCGUGAUACCAGUGUCGUUCUUAAACCAGCCUUCAUUUCAAGAUUUGCUAGGCAUGUCACAAGAAGAGUUUGGAUAUAGUCAUCCUACUGGCGGUCUCACGAUUCCCUGCAAUGAAGACACCUUUCUCGAAGUUACCUCUCGCUUGUAAUAAUUGUGAGAUGAUUAACACAAAUCAGGCAAUAAAAUUUUGUAAAGCAAACAUCACUAAUACAUGUAAACAUUUUUUUCUCCAUCCUUUUGGCCUUGGAGAGCUGAUAUCAGUCUCCCCAAGUGGAGAACUAGAGAUGGUGAUUAGUGUAACACUCCUAUCCAUCAGUAAUGAUAGUUCAAAACACAUCAUUCAAUUGUCAUUUUAUUUCCUUUCUGAAUUUUUUACUUGUUCGCGUUAAUUCAUCUUUAAUAUAAACUGUAAAUGAUCUACUUUGUUCUAAAAUUACUUUCAAACGUGAGUACAUGCUAAGUUAUUUGGAGUUGGACCCUUCAUUUUCGUUCAAUUUCAUGUGUCCAACACAUAUUCAAACAUGAGUACAAAGUCUAGUUAAGAUAGAUCACAAGUUUUCUUUUGCAUGGUAGUAGCUUAUUAAACGAUCAAUUUCGUGUUAUAAUUUUCAAAGUAAUUUUCUUAAUGUAGAUUUGCCCAAGAAUUAAGAUAUAUAAAGAUUUGAGGCAGGGGACUAAGUGAUUAAUAAAACGAACCUAAGGACAAAAGAUUUUAAAGGAAAAAAGAGAAAAGUAAAAGAGAGAUAAGUUCAUGAUACAUGCUGAUUAGUUUUAUCAGAAAGUAAACUUGCUUAAUAUGGACGUCUUUCCCACAUCAUUCUUUUUACUUACUAGGUUCUAUGAAAUAUGGUUAAUCGACAUUGCUCAAAUUCAAGAAAAUUUUCAAGUACUCUAAACUCCAAUCAUGUAUAUGGAGACAAAUAUACAAAUGACGGAAUGUAACAUCAAAUAGCAGAUUUUUUUAUCCAAAAGGUAACAUCAAAUAUGUUCACACUAAGCAUAUUACUAUCCAAAAGGUGACAGCAGCUGCAUAAAUAACCAAAGGCCAUCUUGUUGUUUAUGUAGGUGAAUCCCAAAAGAGGCUGGUUUAUAAUUCCUGUUUCAUUCUUAAAGCACCCUUCAUUUCAAGAACUGAUAAAGUAGACUGAAGAGGAGUUUGGCUUUGAAUCAUCCAAGGGGUAGUCUCACAGUCCCAUGUGCAGAAGAAGCCUUCAUUGAACUUUCUUGUAGUUUGAAAAGCUUUCUCACUUUGACCUGACAUCUUAUCUCCCCAAUAUAAUAAUGAAUAGUAAAAAAUGUGCAGAGAACAGAACAAACAUACCACCAGAAAUGUGGACUAAAAACAGACUUAUUUGUAAUGGUAUCCAUAUAUAUAUAUAGCAGCACAUACCAGAAAUUUAGUGAGCUGUCAAGCUGAAUAUUGUUUUCACCCCUGUGGAACUAUAUGAUUGCAGCACGGCAUAGACAACAAACCUGGAUAAAAUGCAACAAGUUGGGUUCAGAUGAGGAGUUGUUGUGGCCUGUAGGACGCACUUUAGGCGCUCUUCACAAUGGAUUGUCUAGCAAGUUUUAUGUGAAGUCUGUACGAAAUAGGAGGUCAAGGUCACCCAUGUUACUUGUUCCCUAUCAUUGCAUGACAGAUUGUAUGUCUCUAAAGGUUGGCUCUAAUGUCAAUGGUGAAGUAAUAAAAAUCUUCUACUAGGAAGAAGCUUUUAUGAAUCCAAAUUUUCCAUAUCUGAGUAGGUCCUUAGUCGGUUCAUUUUCCCGGCAAGGUAGGAAAACUAUUCUUUCAAGUCUUAGCCAUGGAAUUCUUGAUAAUGCUUUGGAAGACAACACCAUGUGAUUCCCUGUAUACCCAUGUCUUUCUCUUUACUGAUCAGACCCCAGCAAUUGCACCUUCACCACUCAUUCCACAUCCCCCACUUAAUAAUAGAUGAACAUCAUUUCCUCUCUGCCCUACACAUCUAUAUAUACAAGUAAGAGUAAGUUCAUUGGCAACACCUCCCUUCAACAUUCUCAAGCUUGCUUUCCAAGUUAUCUGAUAUCUUCCUUUUCUUCCCUUUUGAAGCAUACAUCCAUCAAAAACAACAAUGGCUAUCCGCCUGCCUCGUAUGGUUAGUUCUAAGAAGGUUCCCAAGGGAUACUUUGCAGUUUAUGUUGGAGAAAGCCAGAAGAGGUUAGUGAUACCGGUUUCAUUCUUGAACCAUCCUUCAUUUCAAGAUUUGCUAGGGAAGUCAGAAGAAGAGUUCGGAUAUAGUCAUCCUACCGGGGGUCUCACAAUUCCAUGCAACGAAGACACCUUUCUCGAAGUUACCUCUCGCAUGUAUUGAUCGUGAGAUGAUUAACACAAACCAGUCAAUACAAUUUUGUAAAGCAAAAAUCACUAAUACAUGUAAACAUUUUUUUCUCCAUCCUUUUUGUCUUGGGGAGCCGAUAUAUAAGUCACCCCAGGUGGAAAACUAAAGAUGGUGAUUACUGUAACACUCCUAUCUAUUCAGUAAUGACAGUUCCAAACACAUCAUUCAGUUGUCAUUUUAUUUCCUUUCUGAAAUUUUUUCUUGUUUUACGUUAAUUCCGUCUUUAAUAUAAUUUAAAUGAUCUACCUUAUUCGAAAUUACUUCAUACUACAAGCCAAGUUAAAUGGAGAAGCAGUAGAGUACAACUGUUCUACUUUGAAGAAGCAUUUUAAAGAUGAAAAUUAAAACACAUCAUUCAAUUGAAAAUUUAUUUCCUUUGAGAAUUUCCUAUGGUACCCCUGUUAUUGUUAAUUUCAUCUUUAAACUGUAAGUGAUCCAUAUUUUUUCAACAAUUACUUCAUAUUACAAGCUAACUGUAAAUUACUAGCAUUUAUCAUUUUUCUCUACAUAUACGAGUAGUAAGGGUGCUUCCCACUGUCCAAUAUGAAUAUAAUUGUACAUAUAUAAUCUAACAUAAUGUAAAUUUCUGUAUUCUUUUGUCUCCAUUGUUCCUGUAAAGGAAAUUCAAAGUAAAAUUCACCACCCACUUUUAUUCUCUUUUUUGCAAACAAUGACUACUUAAUAUAUAGAUGUCAGCAAGUGGAAUGUAAGGCAACCAUCAUCAUCACUUCUUCUAUUCAAAUUCCCUUUUGACCAGUCGUCUUAUCUCCCCUUAUCCCAAUCAUUUAGCUAAAGUGUUAAGCUUACUGUUAGUAAUAAAUGGUCAAUAUAUGCAGAGAACUCCACUGUAAUGUGGAUUAAAAACAUAUUCAUCUGAAAGGCUUAAUAUUGUCUUUCUCCCCCAUGGUACAAUUUGAUUGCAGCACAGCAUAGACAACAAGAAGGAUAGAAUGCAACAAGUUGGGUUCUGACGAGGACUAGUUGCAGCCUGUAGGACACACUUCAGGUGUUCUUCGCAAGCGUUUGUCUUACAAGUUACUCAUUCAAGUUAACACAUGACUGAUCAGACCAUGUGAUUUACCAAUGAAUUCUUGAUAAUCCUUUGGAAGACAACACCAUGUGAUUCACCAUGACCCUAUGUCCUUCUCAUUACUGAUCAGACCCCAGCAAUAUGUCCCUUCACCACUCAUUCCCUUUGGCCCCCUUACAUCUAUAUAUACAAGUAUGAUUAUGCUCAUAUGCAACACAUAUCUUCACAUCCUCAAAGUACUACAGUUCUCUGAGAUCUUCUUCUACCCUUUUGAAGCAUACCUCUAUUGGAAAACAACCAUGGCUAUCCGCUUGCCUCGUAUCGUUGGUUCUAAGAAAGUUCCCAAGGGCUACUUUGCAGUUUAUGUUGGAGAAAACCAGAAGAGGUUUGUGAUACCAGUGUCGUUCUUGAGCCAGCCUUUAUUC
rnacentral:lncRNA from 1 species